ensembl:lncRNA novel transcript, antisense to NRD1
CAGACAAGGUCUUCUUAUGUUGCCAGGCUGGUCUCAAACUCGUGGCCUCAAGUGAUCCUCCUGCCUCAGCCUCCUAGCCUCAAAGAAUCUUAAGGGUCCAAAAUUCUAAAUAAUUGUCAAAUUUGGAACAAUUCUUCCUUUUUUAUCAUUUCAUGGGUGUUCUCAAUAAGAUUUGUAGUUUGUCUUCAGAUAGAUCCUAUACUUUUCCUGUUUAUUCUUAGCCAUUUUAUUGGCUUUUUUUUCUCAAUAUUGUAAAUAAAUGUAAGAUUGUUUCCAUCCA